rnacentral:rRNA from 1 species
AACGAACGCUGGCGGCAUGCCUAACACAUGCAAGUCGAACGAGACCUUCGGGUCUAGUUGCGCACGGGUGCGUAACGCGUGGUAACCUGCCCUUAGGUUCGGAAUCACUCCCCGACAGGGGUGCUCAUACCGGAUAAUGUCUUCAGACCAAAGAUUUAUCGCCUUUGGAUGGGCCCGCGUUGGAUUAGCUAGUUGGUAGGGUAAAAGCCUACCAAGGCGAUGAUCCAUAGCUGGUCUGAGAGGAUGAUCAGGCACACUGGGACUGAGACACGGCCCAGACUCCUACGGGAGGGAGCAGUGGGGAAUAUUGGACAAUGGGCGAAAGCCUGAACCAGCAAUGCCGCGUGAGUGAUGAAGGCCUUAGGGUUGUAAAGCUCUUUUACCCGGGAUGAUAAUGACAGUACCGGGCGAAUAAGCUCCGGCUAACUCCGUG